GUCUACGGUGAUACCACCCUGAAUGCGCCUGAUCUCGUCUGAUCUCAGAAGAUAAGCAGGGUCGGGCCUGGUUAAUACUUGAAUGGGAGACCACCUGGGAAUACCAGGAGCUGUAGGAU
rnacentral:rRNA from 1 species